AGCGUACACGGUGGAUGCCCUGGCAGUCAGAGGCGAUGAAGGACGUGCUAAUCUGCGAUAAGCGUCGGUAAGGUGAUAUGAACCGUUAUAACCGGCGAUUUCCGAAUGGGGAAACCCAGUGUGAUUCGUCACACUAUCAUUAACUGAAUCCAUAGGUUAAUGAGGCGAACCGGGGGAACUGAAACAUCUAAGUACCCCGAGGAAAAGAAAUCAACCGAGAUUCCCCCAGUAGCGGCGAGCGAACGGGGAGCAGCCCAGAGCCUGAAUCAGUGUGUGUGUUAGUGGAAGCGUCUGGAAAGGCGCGCGAUACAGGGUGACAGCCCCGUACACAAAAAUGCACAUGCUGUGAGCUCGAUGAGUAGGGCGGGACACGUGGUAUCCUGUCUGAAUAUGGGGGGACCAUCCUCCAAGGCUAAAUACUCCUGACUGACCGAUAGUGAACCAGUACCGUGAGGGAAAGGCGAAAAGAACCCCGGCGAGGGGAGUGAAAAAGAACCUGAAACCGUGUACGUACAAGCAGUGGGAGCACGCUUAGGCGUGUGACUGCGUACCUUUUGUAUAAUGGGUCAGCGACUUAUAUUCUGUAGCAAGGUUAACCGAAUAGGGGAGCCGAAGGGAAACCGAGUCUUAACUGGGCGUUAAGUUGCAGGGUAUAGACCCGAAACCCGGUGAUCUAGCCAUGGGCAGGUUGAAGGUUGGGUAACACUAACUGGAGGACCGAACCGACUAAUGUUGAAAAAUUAGCGGAUGACUUGUGGCUGGGGGUGAAAGGCCAAUCAAACCGGGAGAUAGCUGGUUCUCCCCGAAAGCUAUUUAGGUAGCGCCUCGUGAAUUCAUCUCCGGGGGUAGAGCACUGUUUCGGCAAGGGGGUCAUCCCGACUUACCAACCCGAUGCAAACUGCGAAUACCGGAGAAUGUUAUCACGGGAGACACACGGCGGGUGCUAACGUCCGUCGUGAAGAGGGAAACAACCCAGACCGCCAGCUAAGGUCCCAAAGUCAUGGUUAAGUGGGAAACGAUGUGGGAAGGCCCAGACAGCCAGGAUGUUGGCUUAGAAGCAGCCAUCAUUUAAAGAAAGCGUAAUAGCUCACUGGUCGAGUCGGCCUGCGCGGAAGAUGUAACGGGGCUAAACCAUGCACCGAAGCUGCGGCAGCGACGCUUAUGCGUUGUUGGGUAGGGGAGCGUUCUGUAAGCCUGUGAAGGUGUACUGUGAGGUAUGCUGGAGGUAUCAGAAGUGCGAAUGCUGACAUAAGUAACGAUAAAGCGGGUGAAAAGCCCGCUCGCCGGAAGACCAAGGGUUCCUGUCCAACGUUAAUCGGGGCAGGGUGAGUCGACCCCUAAGGCGAGGCCGAAAGGCGUAGUCGAUGGGAAACAGGUUAAUAUUCCUGUACUUGGUGUUACUGCGAAGGGGGGACGGAGAAGGCUAUGUUGGCCGGGCGACGGUUGUCCCGGUUUAAGCGUGUAGGCUGGUUUUCCAGGCAAAUCCGGAAAAUCAAGGCUGAGGCGUGAUGACGAGGCACUACGGUGCUGAAGCAACAAAUGCCCUGCUUCCAGGAAAAGCCUCUAAGCAUCAGGUAACAUCAAAUCGUACCCCAAACCGACACAGGUGGUCAGGUAGAGAAUACCAAGGCGCUUGAGAGAACUCGGGUGAAGGAACUAGGCAAAAUGGUGCCGUAACUUCGGGAGAAGGCACGCUGAUAUGUAGGUGAAGUCCCUCGCGGAUGGAGCUGAAAUCAGUCGAAGAUACCAGCUGGCUGCAACUGUUUAUUAAAAACACAGCACUGUGCAAACACGAAAGUGGACGUAUACGGUGUGACGCCUGCCCGGUGCCGGAAGGUUAAUUGAUGGGGUUAGCGCAAGCGAAGCUCUUGAUCGAAGCCCCGGUAAACGGCGGCCGUAACUAUAACGGUCCUAAGGUAGCGAAAUUCCUUGUCGGGUAAGUUCCGACCUGCACGAAUGGCGUAAUGAUGGCCAGGCUGUCUCCACCCGAGACUCAGUGAAAUUGAACUCGCUGUGAAGAUGCAGUGUACCCGCGGCAAGACGGAAAGACCCCGUGAACCUUUACUAUAGCUUGACACUGAACAUUGAGCCUUGAUGUGUAGGAUAGGUGGGAGGCUUUGAAGUGUGGACGCCAGUCUGCAUGGAGCCGACCUUGAAAUACCACCCUUUAAUGUUUGAUGUUCUAACGUGGACCCGUAAUCCGGGUUGCGGACAGUGUCUGGUGGGUAGUUUGACUGGGGCGGUCUCCUCCUAAAGAGUAACGGAGGAGCACGAAGGUUGGCUAAUCCUGGUCGGACAUCAGGAGGUUAGUGCAAUGGCAUAAGCCAGCUUGACUGCGAGCGUGACGGCGCGAGCAGGUGCGAAAGCAGGUCAUAGUGAUCCGGUGGUUCUGAAUGGAAGGGCCAUCGCUCAACGGAUAAAAGGUACUCCGGGGAUAACAGGCUGAUACCGCCCAAGAGUUCAUAUCGACGGCGGUGUUUGGCACCUCGAUGUCGGCUCAUCACAUCCUGGGGCUGAAGUAGGUCCCAAGGGUAUGGCUGUUCGCCAUUUAAAGUGGUACGCGAGCUGGGUUUAGAACGUCGUGAGACAGUUCGGUCCCUAUCUGCCGUGGGCGCUGGAGAACUGAGGGGGGCUGCUCCUAGUACGAGAGGACCGGAGUGGACGCAUCACUGGUGUUCGGGUUGUCAUGCCAAUGGCACUGCCCGGUAGCUAAAUGCGGAAGAGAUAAGUGCUGAAAGCAUCUAAGCACGAAACUUGCCCCGAGAUGAGUUCU
rnacentral:rRNA from 1 species